CCUACGGGGGGCAGCAGUGGGGAAUAUUGGGCAAUGGGCGCAAGCCUGACCCAGCAACGCCGCGUGAAGGAAGACGGCUUUCUGGUUGUAAACUUCUUUUCUCAGGGACGAAGAAAGUGACGGUACCUGAGGAAUAAGACACGGCUAACUACGUGCCAGCAGCCGCGGGAAUACGUCGGUGGCGAGCGUUCUCCGGAUUUAUUGGGUGUAAAGGUCGUGUAGGCGGGAGGGCAAGUCAGGUGUGAAAACU
rnacentral:rRNA from 1 species